AGGCGAUCAUUGGUGGUAGUCUCAUUCUCUAAAAUUAAAAAACGAUGAAGCUCCGGUGAGGGAUCAUCAGGGAAGAUGACCAGAGUUAUCUCAGGUCAUAUGAGUUUCCUUACACGUUGGCAAUUUGAAAUAUUCUGAUUGGUCCAUUUUGAAUUAGAUCCCGUGUUUUAUUUUGGCUAAUUUCCAUCAUACGCCUUAGCCUGAUAGCUGUUGGAUCUGCCACGUCAAUUAAUGAGGUCAUAUCCGACGCUUCGUGUUUUUUAUGAUUUUAUUUAUUUUUCUUU
rnacentral:lncRNA from 1 species